rnacentral:rRNA from 1 species
GACGAACGCUGGCGGCGUGCUUAACACAUGCAAGUCGAACGGUAAGGCCCUUCGGGGUACACGAGUGGCGAACGGGUGAGUAACACGUGGGUGAUCUGCCCUGCACUUCGGGAUAAGCCUGGGAAACUGGGUCUAAUACCGGAUAGGACCACUGCCUGCAUGGGUGGUGGUGGAAAGCUUUUGCGGUGUGGGAUGGGCCCGCGGCCUAUCAGCUUGUUGGUGGGGUGAUGGCCUACCAAGGCGACGGCGGGUAGCCGGCCUGAGAGGGUGACCGGCCAUACUGGGACUGAGAUACGGCCCAGACCCCUACGGGAGGCAGCAGUGGGGAAUAUUGCACAAUGGGCGCAAGCCUGAUGCAGCGACGCCGCGUGAGGGAUGACGGCCUUCGGGUUGUAAACCUCUUUCAGCACCGACGAAGCGCAAGUGACGGUAGGUGCAGAAGAAGGACCGGCCAACUACGUGCCAGCCGCCGCCGUAA